AGGUGUGUGGAAUGGUGCAUGCAUUUAGAAAUCAGGCACGACGCGCAGGUCGACGAAGGCACCACCCAGGAGUGGGUGGACCAGGUGCCCCCUGGAGACGAGAAACCCUCGAGGAAGGGGGCACGAACGUAGAGGUCAGGCUAGGGCUGACGAUGCUGGCUAAGCGGGGGCGCACGUCUGGGAAGUCGUCGUCGUAGUCACCGAUGUCCGUGACCUUCCAGAGGCUGGUUAGCCGGAUAGAAUGCCAGGCUGGUCUCAAACUCUCGGUCUCAAGCUCCUGGGCUCAAGAGAUCCUCCCAUCUGGGCCUCCCAAAGUUCUUAGGAUUACAGACGUGAGCUACUGUGCCUGGCUAGGGAAUAUUUUUGAAAGUAGAGUUCUUGCAGGCUAAAGGAGCAGGCAGCACAGAUGAGAGGAGACAUCUGAGUUGCUUUAAAAGGAAGGGCAAAAUGUGGUGACCAGAGAGGAAAGUGAAAAGCUUUCCAGCAGGCUCACGGCAGGAAAGGAGGGUCAGGACAGGGAACUAUGUGUACAGAUAUUGAGGUACAAAUAAGGUAAUCCACCCGCCUUGGCCUCCCAAAGUGCUGGGAUUACAGGUGUGAGCCACCAUGCCCAGCCAGAAACUGCCACUUUUAAACCAUCAGAUCUCAUUGAGAACUCCCUCACUAUCACGAGAACCGCAUGAGGGAAACCACCCCCAUGAUCUGAUCACCUCCCACCAGGUCCUGCCCUCAACAUGUGGGGAUUACAAUUCAAGAUGAGAUUUGGGUCAGGAAACAGAGCCAAACCAUAUCAAGAGGCUCUGGUAACCACUGUUCUACUCAAUACUUCUAUGAGGUGAACUUCUUUGGAUUCCACAUAUGAUCAAGAUCAUGAGGGGUGAUGAACAUGAUCUAGAAUUGAUUGUGGUGUUCUUACACAUCUCUGUGAACAUACUAAACACCACUGAAUGGUACACUUCAAGUGGGUGAAUUGUAUGGAAGGAGGAGCAAGUCUUCUUUGUCAUGCUAUUAAGAAAAUACCCAGAGUCACAGCACCAUGAUCUCCUUGUGAAGCAGAACAAGUAAUAUAAAACUGAUCUAAAGAGGCCUCCCCUCUACUCUUAUCUGUCUGGUCGAGUCAUUUGGGUCCAAGUGGGCACCAUUGUGGGAGGGUGGGAGGACUCAUCACUGGGGGCCCAGGCAUCAUUGGCAUGUGGCCUCCUGUGUUAGUUUGUUCUCAUGCUGCAAAUAAAGACAACUUGAGACUGGAUAAUUUA
rnacentral:lncRNA from 1 species